rnacentral:rRNA from 1 species
GACGAACGCUGGCGGCGUGCCUAAUACAUGCAAGUAGGACGCACAGCCCAUACCGUAGCUUGCUACACCAUAGGCUGUGAGUUGCGAACGGGUGAGUAACGCGUAGGUAACCUGCCUAUUAGAGGGGGAUAACUAUUGGAAACGAUAGCUAAUACCGCAUAACAGUAUGUAACACAUGUUAGAUGCUUGAAAGAUGCAAUUGCAUCGCUAGUAGAUGGACCUGCGUUGUAUUAGCUAGUAGGUAGGGUAAUGGCCUACCUAGGCAACGAUACAUAGCCGACCUGAGAGGGUGAUCGGCCACACUGGGACUGAGACACGGCCCAGACUCCUACGGGAGGCAGCAGUAGGGAAUCUUCGGCAAUGGGGGGAACCCUGACCGAGCAACGCCGCGUGAGUGAAGAAGGUUUUCGGAUCGUAAAGCUCUGUUGUAAGUCAAGAACGAGUGUGAGAGUGGAAAGUUCACACUGUGACGGUAGCUUACCAGAAAGGGACGGCUAACUACGUGCCAGCAGCCGCGGUAAUACGUAGGUCCCGAGCGUUGUCCGGAUUUAUUGGGCGUAAAGCGAGCGCAGGCGGUUUGAUAAGUCUGAAGUUAAAGGCUGUGGCUCAACCAUAGUUCGCUUUUGGAAACUGUCAAACUUGAGUGCAGAAGGGGAGAGUGGAGUUCCAUGUGUAGCGGUGAAAUGCGUAGAUAUUGGAGGAACACCGGUGGCGAAAGCGGCUCUCUGGUCUGUAACUGACUCUGAUGCUCUUAAACCUGCGGAGCGAACAUU